AAUGUUCUAGAAGUAUUCCAGGUGUGUCAGCUAUGUCACUUCAUUAGGUGCCAGACAGGGAAGAAUUUAUGUUUAAUUUAGUGUCCUGACCAAUGAACAUCUGAAUGAUUAGUAACUUAUCAUU
ensembl:snoRNA LOC120099511 small nucleolar RNA SNORA17